CUCUCAUGGAGUGAUUAUUAUUAUCCCCUCUUUACAGGAAGAAAUCAAGAUUGCCUCCCUCGGUCUAGUUUCUACCACCUUUAUUUGCUCUGACUAGCACCAAAUAGUAGAGUUAACUGUAUGGUAAAAAAGGAUAAAUGGAGCCACUUCAUCUGAAUCUUGACAUAAGGCAUUCUACUCUAGCUGAGCUAAUUCAACAUGAAAACUUCAUUUAUAUCAGCAAAGACAAAGCUUGCUGCCACUCAGCUUUCAUCUUUCAUUAAGACUCCUGCUGGUGCUGCUUUAGGCGCAAUAUAACAUAAUGACACUGAAAACAGUAGGAGGACUUAACCCCACUGCACUUUUCCUCUAUCAUAAAGACUACUUUAUCUGAGUUAAUAUCUGCCACAACUGAGGAGGGAACCUUUUUCUUCUGAUGUUUACUUGCGUUCUAUAAGGUAAAGAUGGGUUUGUGGCAUCU
rnacentral:lncRNA from 1 species